UUUCAGCACGAACAGUUUGCAGGACGAGUCCAGUGGGACAAAGACGUCCUCAGAGAAGGACGACUCAGACUUCAUGUGUCCAGACUCAGGACUGAAGACUCGGGAAUGUAUGUGUGUAAAGUGUUCACAAGUAAUGAGAGUAGCUCCGGUAAAUGUUGGCUCCAUGUCACUGCAGCGAGGGAUCGGCCUGAACCUGAGACACCAAACACAACAAGUCCACAACAACAGGAGAGUCAGGGGAGGAGUUACCUCUUAUAUUUACUGUUGGAACUGUUUAGAAUAUCAUUCGGUCCACUGUUGUUUUUUCUCCUGUAUGUUUUGUUUCAUUCUUACUUGUCAU